CCUCUAUUCAAAUUCCCAACUCUCAGUGUAACAUCCCGAGUUGUGAUAUGUGAAAAGGCUUAAGAGAAUUGAUUUGGCUACCUAUGUCACCAAAGUUGACUUACCUUUUCCGGAGCACAUCCUGAAAGAACUCCAGAGUUAAGCGUGCUUGAGCUGGAGUAGUAGAAGGAUGGGUGACCUAUCGGAAAGUGAUUCGCGAUAGCGUGCGAGUGAGGCCAAAGCACGGGGAAAGGUCGGGUGGUGAUUGCAGGGUCAGUAAACAAUGAUUUCGAGCCUUGAAAAAUUAACGACCGACCGUCGGAUGGGAUGGGGCCCACGGGCCGAGAGAGCGGGCGUGGGUGGCCCAUUAGCCGUGGACGGUCGGGGCGUUACACUCAGAGCUUUCAGAAGAUGGUUAGUUAAUUUGUGAGGAAGCACGUAUAAAAAGCAUACGCAUAUAGUUUUACACAUUCAGAAACCUGUAUUGACUCUGUAUAUUAUUCUUCACAAGUUCACAACUUUAAUGUAAUUUCAUUAUUUGCAGCAAGAAUUGAGAUUCCAGUAUGGAGUUACUGGUGGAAAAGCCAAGAAGAAAGCUUUAGCUUAUAUCUAUAAGUGUAAAGGAGUAAGGGAUGUAUCACUAGAAAACGUUAUACUUAUCGUCUCUGGAGAAGGACUAGACGAAGAUAAAAUGAGGAGGAAGAUGGAUGAGAUUUUUUCGUCCAACCCGGGGUGCCUAUCGUGUUUUUAGUUUCAGCGGAUGAUAUUGGUCUUCGUAUUUUUAUAAGUUUUGGAUUUUAACUUAGAAGUUUAUGCUUAUUACUUAUGUCUUCGGCUUUUAAUUCUUUGGAAUUCCUAUAGUCAUUGACUACAUCCUAGAUAGUUUACUAGUAUGAUGAUUUUUUUGUAAAAAUAUUUUGGAUUUCAACUAAUAAUUUUAUGCUUCUUAGUUA